UGGUAAACUUUUUAUUUGCAAAUGACAGUGAGUCUUACAGUAACAAAUGAGAGAGAGAAAGGAGGAGGGAGGGAAAUUGAGAGAGAGAAGUUAAGAGAGAGAGACAGAGAAAAUAUCUAUUAGCUCCUAAUUCAGUAGAGUUAAAAUCCAGGAACAGAACAGCUUCAGGCAUAGCUGGAUCCAGGGGCCAAUAAGGUGCCUUAUCUUUGUGUCUCUUGAACAGGUUCUUUUCCUGAGGUAGGCAUGUUUAGCCAUUGGUAGGUCAAGGGCUACCUUUUAUUUGCAGCAACCCACUAGAGAAAAGAUGACCUUUCCAAUACUCCUGGCUCGAAGAACCCCAGCUAAAGUCCGGCUUGCCCAGCGAGUCUCGCAUUCCUCUCUGUGCCCGACGCUGUGGCCGUGAGGAUGGUGUGGUCUAAUUGAUCAGGCAGGCCUGGGUGGCCUGUCCUCAAACAGUGUAUAACUCAAAUAGGGUGCCUCUUUAUAAUUUUGUUUCCUCAUUUCUAAGAAGAGUGAGAAGAAUAUCCUUCUGGCUUAUUUCUUACGCUGUCAUGUAGGCAAUUAUUUGAUGACUCCUUUCCAUAAUGUGCUUGAUUGCCUGGGACAGCUGUGUGCUGCAUUCUAAUGGAAGACGGAUGCAGGUGCCUGCUGUGUUAACAAGAUGUUGGCUGGUCAGAGGCUCAGACGGGUUGUCCCUCCAUGGGGUUCCUGGAGGAAGGACUCUGGUUGAUUUAUGUAGGACUUUCUGCUUUCUGGACCCCUUUAGUUUCUACUAUUGUACCCAGAGGGUUUCCCAGGUGGCACUAGUGGUAAAGAAUCCGCCUGCCAAUGCAGGAGACACAAGGGACUCGGGUUCGAUCCCUGCAUCAGGAAGAUCCCCUGGAGGAGGGCAUGACAGCCCACUCCAGUAUUCUUGCCUGGGAAAUCCCAGAGACAGAGGAGGUUGGUGGGCUACAGUCCAUGGGGUUGCAGAGUUGGAUGUGACUGUGUGACUCAGCACAGUAUUGUACCCAGAACCGCAAGGAGAAAACCAGGUUGAAAUGAAAAGCUUAGGAUUUAUUCUAGAAAAAUCCCAACACCUCAAAGGCUCAUGCAUUCAAAUGGAAUGUGGACAAUAAUUUGCAUUAUUUGACCUGUAUUCAGCAUCAUGCUAUGCUGAUGAAUGCUUUGUCCUGUAUGAAAGGCUUCUUUUUUCCUUUUCAGAAACCAGGGGUGGAUCACCAGGGUCCCCUCCCUCAGCAGGAAAGCCCCAGAGAACUGGAAUGAGUCAUCAGUUCCUUGGGGCGAUGCUAGGGGCUCAGUGAUUCGGUGUUAAUUGAAAUUCCCCUUUUUGUGAGAUUUUCCUUGAAGACAUUGAAACAAGUGAUUGAGGUAUGGAAAUGAAUCACAUGAUAACCCCUGAAAGCCUUGCAAUGUCCCAAACAGGUUUUCUCACUUGGAGAGGCCCACAUGCUGUCUGUGGUGGAGAAGCUGAGGUGUCACCUGAGCCACCGGGCCAAGGUCCCAUGUUCCCUGGAGUCCACCUGGAGCCCUGAGUCCUCCUCAGGCACGCUGGCACACUUCAGGGUAAAAUUCUGCAAGGAGUUAGAUGCCUUUCCUAUGUCUCCAUCGCACAGGAAUCUUUCUCAGAUUGCAGGGAUCAAGACACACAUUCUGGGGCUUCCCUGGUUGUCCAGUGCUUAAGACUUCACCUUCAAUGCAGGGGAUAUGAGCUUGAUCCCUGGUCUGACAGCUAAGAUAUCACAUGCCUCAUGGACAAAAAAUGAAAAACAUUAAAGAGAAGCAAUAUUGUAACAAAUUCAAUGAAAACUUUAAAAAUGGUCCACACUGUAAAAAAAAAAAAAGAACACACUUCUGUUUCCAGACAGAUAAGAAAUGAGAAGAAGUGAUCAAAAGCUAAAUAACAUCAGGUUAUACAAACUAAUCUUAUGUAAAAACAAAAAAACAGACAUUUGGAGACUAUGCUAAUAAAAUUUUCUUUUUAAAUGUUGGUUUAAAUAUCUAUUUUUAAUAUCAUACUUGAAAAAAUAGUGUUACCUAAAGCACUUCAGAGUUCCCAAACUGAAAAUAUAUAUUUAUGCAUAUUCAUAUAUAUUAAAAGUUGUUGUUCAUUCACUAACUUGUAUACAACUCUUUGUGACCCCAUGGACUGCAGCACAACCAGGCUUCCCCGUCCUUCACUGUCUCCCAGAGUUUGCUCAAACUUGUGUCCUUUGAGUUGGUGAUGCCAUCCAACCAUUUCAUCCUCUGUCACCCCCUUCUCCUCUUGCCCUCAAUCUUUCCCAGCAUCAGAGUCUUUUCCAAUGAGUCAAUUCUUCUUAUCAGGUGGCCAAAGUAUUGGAGUUUCAGCAUCAGUCUUUCCAAUGAAUAUUCAGGAUUGAUUUCCUUUAGGAUUGACUGGUUGGAUCUCCUUGCAGGCCAAGGGACUCUCAAGAGUCUUCUCUAGCACCACAGAAUUGAAAGCAUCAAUUCUUAGGCACUCAGUUUUCCUUAUUGUCCAACUCUCACAUCUGUACAUGACUACUGGAAACACCACAGCUUUGACUAUGUGGAUCUUUGUUGGCAAAGUGAUGUCUCUGCUUUUUACACAUACUUAUUGUUAAAACCUUAAAAAAAAUCAAAAGUGUGUGCAAGUAGAAAUAAAAGCUUCUUCUUCCUUUAUGAUUGUAAUUUGUAUCUCUAUCUAGAGCUCAAUUUACUUUUUUAUCUAAAUAGGUGACAUCAUGCCUAUGAGUCCCCAGCAUUUUCCUGAUACCUAAUGGAAAUCUGUACAGAAUACUACUUAUGCAGCCACCUGUACAUCUUAUCCUAUACACAGUAUUUUAUUAUAUGGCUGUAUCAUAAUAUAUUUAACCAGCUCUUUUCUGCUGGCUAUAUCAGGAAACAUUGGCUGCAAGUAUCAGUUGGGCUUCAUAAAGAAAGCUAUUGGCCUUUAUAACUGAAGUUUACAGAAAUGGUGGCUUCCGGAUGGGUUAAUCUAGUGAUUCUAGCUCCACUGGUUGUUUCUCUGUUACCUUUGCCAUUUGUUUCCCUGUGAUAUGCCCUCCUCUACAUGUUGGUUUUCUUAAGAAGGCAAUUUCCCCCUCAUAGUGGCAGAAUGCUUGUUAUAGCAACACUAGGCUUUACAACCUCACAGCAGAAAGAGAAAAAAACAAACACUUCUCCUUACAUGGCAAGGAAGAAUUGUUCAGUUCAUCUUGGUUAUUUAUUGUUGUUCAGUUGCUAAGUUGUGUCUGACUUUUUACGAUCCUAUGGACUGCAGCAUACCAGGCUUCCUCAUCCUUCAUUAUCUCCUGGAGUUUGCUCAAACUCAUGUCCAUUGAGUCGGUGAGGUCAUCUAACCAGCUCAUCCUCUGUAACU
ensembl:lncRNA